GAGCCUUCCCCUUUGUUUCCCUCAGUGAUGCUAGGGUCUUGAAACUCAGCCCAGUACAAUCAUUGGUGUUUGAGCUGGCAACUGGGGGUCUAAUUGCCAACUAAGAUGGAUAUCUCUGGCUCUGGAGAAACAGCUGGGAUAGGACAUUGUUGCUUCUCUGCGGCAGGCAGCUCAUGAUGCAAAUGCCGAGUUUGGACCAAUAGGAUUCAAACCUUGGUGGCUGCCUCCAGCAUGCACUCUUUGCACUGCUCUGCUUCCUCCUGCCACUCUGGUGACAUUUGCGUGGAGAUAGGGUUUCUCUGUGCAGUCCUGGCUGUCCUGGAACUCACUCUGUAGACCAGGCUGGCUUAACGUUGAUGAAGACACCCAAAAAGAAGAUGGAACACCGGAGUGCUUUUGCCAUCAAACUUAUUCGUGCACUGUGUCAAUGCCACAGCUGAUGUGGGUGGUGGAAAUCCUACGGACAAGAGCAAAGACAGCACCUUGUCCACCAGAGUCCAUGGCAGUGUGCUCCUGAACAUGCCACUAAAGCAAACCACACGUCGUGGCCAGCUUUCCCUCCCUUAGAGGAUGCUGUGUAUAAUAAACAGCAUCCAGACUGAGGAACUACAACAAGGAACAGCAAGGCUUUUUGUUCCCAAUUACAUUCAGAGGAAGCCUCACCAUGUCUAUGGAUGCCCAGCAGGCUCUUCACCUGUGGCUCAAACCUCAAUCAGCUUUAGGGCAGCUACGAACAGACAGUCCCUCUGCCACACCUCAUGGAAGUCGUCUGCCUGUCCAGCUGAACACGGAUUUGUUUUGAAAUGACACGGAGAGUUACAUAAAGAAAAACUUGUUCUGACAAGAAAAGACUUGAGGAGAUAAAAAUCCUCCUGGUCUCGGGGUUCUCCAGAUCUCUUCCCACAGCAUCCUUGUCUCCCUGAGGAAAUGAGUAGUAUUUACAGUAUUCUGCUGCUAUGCUCAACAGAUUCUUGUAUGUACAGUUCUCACCUCUUUUCUCAGAACCUUCUCCGGUGAAUGCCACCUUUGUCUUGCAGGGCAGCUGAAGUGAGAGAUGAAACAGACUCUUUUAUAGGGGCUCACUACUCACUUUAAGCCCAGGGCUUCUGGCAAAGUGUGACGUACUUGUUCUUGGAUACCAGAGAUGGCAGACUCCAAAUCUUGUCAUCUUCAAUUGCAAUGGGGAACAAUUUGGCUUCAAAUAAUUUUUCCAACAUACAUGAAGUCUGAAGGAAUUUUUGGAGAGCUCAACAGUAAUGCUUUUCUCUAGAGAUGAUCGUCCUUUAUAGCUUGGUCAUGGGAGGUUCAUAAGGGAGCCUCCUGGACAUGGUACUAUCAACGUGCACGAGAGGUCCACUCUGGUUUGGAAACCCACUGUCUUCUUCCUGGCGCUAGCUUUUGCUAAUCCAGAGAACCUAACUUCCCAGACAUAAGGUGGCAGGUGAGCCUGAUGGAUAGUUCCUGGCCGAAGCAGCUCCUGUCUUGUGUCAGACAUCUACAGCAGACAUGGAGGAGUCCUAGCUGAGCAGCCCAAGAACAUGAGCAGAAGAUAGGGGUGUGCAGGUCUCCCGCACUGCCCCCUUGACACAUAUGCUACCUGGGGGUUUCUCCACGUUAUCUCACAGAUUUUCACAAAAUAAGUGUCCAUAUUCCAGGAAGGCUAAGGCUGGAAACUAUUGCCUGUUGCACACAUUGCUUCCUAGCUGGCUGGAGAAUGUCCUGCUAGUCACUGUGACAUGCUUUUUCCGGGAGAAAUGAGAAACCUUUUUCAUCAUGGAAGAAGAAGAACUAGACAUUUCCAUGGACAAGAAUUCAUUACAUCACUGCUCCUUUGACAGACAGGGCUGGAAGCCCUGGGGUGCACAGAGCCUCAGGCUAGCAGCCAGCUCACCAACUCUCAUGCUUUCUGUUUCUCCACAAAAUGAAGACACAAAAAGAACUUAGUUUCAUGGACAUGGCAUGAAAUGAAAAGUCAGGCUUCAUUUGGCACUUUGUUUGGGUCCCCAAAUAACAAAAUAACUACUUAAGAAAU
ensembl:lincRNA C030034L19Rik RIKEN cDNA C030034L19 gene